rnacentral:rRNA from 1 species
AACGAACGCUGGCGGCAGGCUUAACACAUGCAAGUCGAGCGCCCCGCAAGGGGAGCGGCAGACGGGUGAGUAACGCGUGGGAAUCUACCCAUCUCUACGGAAUAACGCAUGGAAACGUGUGCUAAUACCGUAUACGUCCUUCGGGAGAAAGAUUUAUCGGAGAUGGAUGAGCCCGCGUUGGAUUAGCUAGUUGGUGGGGUAAAGGCCUACCAAGGCGACGAUCCAUAGCUGGUCUGAGAGGAUGAUCAGCCACACUGGGACUGAGACACGGCCCAGACUCCUACGGGAGGCAGCAGUGGGGAAUAUUGGACAAUGGGCGCAAGCCUGAUCCAGCCAUGCCGCGUGAGUGAUGAAGGCCCUAGGGUUGUAAAGCUCUUUCACCGGUGAAGAUAAUGACGGUAACCGGAGAAGAAGCCGGCUAACUUCGUGCCAGCAGCCGCCGUAAAAC